rnacentral:rRNA from 1 species
AUAUCCCGCAACAAGCGCAUCUUGCCUUUGUUGCAGCAUUAAGUUGGCACUCAGAGGGAUGCCAGGAUAAUCGGAGGAGGGUGGGGAUGAGUCAAAUCAUCAUGCCCCUUAUGCUUAGGGCUACACACGUGCUACAAUGGGUGGUACAGAGGGUUGCCAAGCCGCGAGGUGGAGCUAAUCCCUUAAAGCCAUUCUCAGUUCGGAUUGUAGGCUGAAACUCGCCUACAUGAAGCUGGAGUUACUAGUAAUCGCAGAUCAGAAUGCUGCGGUGAAUGCGUUCCCGGGUCUUGAAC